AUUGAACGCUGGCGGCAUGCCUUACACAUGCAAGUCGAACGGCAGCACGGGUGCUUGCACCUGGUGGCGAGUGGCGAACGGGUGAGUAAUACAUCGGAACAUGUCCUGUAGUGGGGGAUAGCCCGGCGAAAGCCGGAUUAAUACCGCAUACGCUCUACGGAUGAAAGCGGGGGACCUUCGGGCCUCGCGCUAUAGGGUUGGCAGAUGGCUGAUUAGCUAGUUGGUGGGGUAAAGGCCUACCAAGGCGACGAUCAGUAGCUGGUCUGAGAGGACGACCAGCCACACUGGGACUGAGACACGGCCCAGACUCCUACGGGAGGCAGCAGUGGGGAAUUUUGGACAAUGGGCGAAAGCCUGAUCCAGCAAUGCCGCGUGUGUGAAGAAGGCCUUCGGGUUGUAAAGCACUUUUGUCCGGAAAGAAAUCCUUGGCCCUAAUACGGUCGGGGGAUGACGGUACCGGAAGAAUAAGCACCGGCUAACUACGUG
rnacentral:rRNA from 1 species